GACGAACGCUGGCGGCGUGCUUAACACAUGCAAGUCGAACGGAAGGGCCCUGCUUUUGUGGGGUGCUCGAGUGGCGAACGGGUGAGUAACACGUGAGUAACCUGCCCUUGACUUUGGGAUAACUUCAGGAAACUGGGGCUAAUACCGGAUAGGAGCUCCUGCUGCAUGGUGGGGGUUGGAAAGUUUCGGCGGUUGGGGAUGGACUCGCGGCUUAUCAGCUUGUUGGUGGGGUAGUGGCUUACCAAGGCUUUGACGGGUAGCCGGCCUGAGAGGGUGACCGGCACCAUUGGGACUGAGAUACGGCCCAGCAUCCUACGGGAGGAAGCAGUGGGAAAUUUUGAACAAUGGGGGGAAGCCUGAUGCGGAACCGCGGCGUGCGGGAUAACGGCCUUCGGGUUGUAAACCGCUUUCGCCUGUGACGAAGCGUGAGUGACGGUAAUGGGUAAGAAAGCACCGGCUAACUACGUG
rnacentral:rRNA from 1 species